AGGGUUCGAUCCUGGCUCAGGACGAACGCUGGCGGCACGCCUAACACAUGCAAGUCGAACGGAGAUAUUAGCUUCGGUUAAUAUCUUAGUGGCGGACGGGUGAGUAACACGUGAGCAACCUGCCUCUAAGAACGGGAUAGCUUCUGGAAACGGAUGGUAAUACCGUAUAAUGUAUUGGGAAGGCAUCUUUCUAAUACCAAAGAUUUAUCGCUUAGAGAUGGGCUCGCGUCUGAUUAGCUAGAUGGUGAGGUAACGGCCCACCAUGGCGACGAUCAGUAGCCGGACUGAGAGGUUGAACGGCCACAUUGGGACUGAGACACGGCCCAG
rnacentral:rRNA from 1 species